AUUGAACGCUGGCGGCAGGCCUAACACAUGCAAGUCGAACGAGUGGCGGACGGGUGAGUAAUGUCUGGGAAACUGCCUGAUGGAGGGGGAUAACUACUGGAAACGGUAGCUAAUACCGCAUACCAUCGGAUGUGCCCAGAUGGGUUUGGCUAGUAGGUGGGGUAAAGGCUCACCUAGGCGACGAUCCCUAGCUGGUCUGAGAGGAUGACCGGCCACACUGGACCGGGGAAACGGGCCAGACUCCUACGGGGGGCAGCAGGGGGGAAUAUUGCACAAUGGGGGAAAGCCUGAGGCAGCCAGGCCGCGUGUAUGAAGAAGGCCUUCGGGUGGUAAAGUACUUUAAGCGGGGAGGCGGUACCCGCAGAAGAAGCACCGGCUAACUCCGUGCCAGCAGCCGCGGUAAUUC
rnacentral:rRNA from 1 species